GACGAACGCUGGCGGUGUGCUUAACACAUGCAAGUCGAACGGUAAGGCCCUUUCGGGGGUACACGAGUGGCGAACGGGUGAGUAACACGUGAGUAACCUGCCCUCAUCUCUGGGAUAACAGUCGGAAACGGUUGCUAAUACUGGAUAUGAGCUUGCAAGGCAUCUUGUGGGUUGGAAAGAUAUUUUUUGGUUGGGGAUGGACUCGCGGCCUAUCAGCUUGUUGGUGAGGUAGUGGCUCACCAAGGCUUCGACGGGUAGCCGGCCUGAGAGGGCGACCGGCCACAUUGGGACUGAGAUACGGCCCAGACUCCUACGGGAGGCAGCAGUGGGGAAUAUUGCACAAUGGACGGAAGUCUGAUGCAGCAACGCCGCGUGCGGGAUGACGGCCUUCGGGU
rnacentral:rRNA from 2 species